rnacentral:rRNA from 1 species
UAAGGAAUAUUGGUCAAUGGGCGCAAGCCUGAACCAGCCAUGCCGCGUGCAGGAAGACUGCCCUAUGGGUUGUAAACUGCUUUUAUUCGGGAAUAAACCUGUUUACGUGUAAACAGUUGAAUGUACUGAAAGAAUAAGGAUCGGCUAACUCCGUGCCAGCAGCCGCGGUAAUACGGAGGAUCCAAGCGUUAUCCGGAUUUAUUGGGUUUAAAGGGUGCGUAGGCGGGUUAUUAAGUCAGAGGUGAAAUUUUGCGGCUCAACCGUAAGCUUGCCUUUGAUACUGAUGAUCUUGAAUUAACUUGAGGUAGGCGGAAUGUGACAAGUAGCGGUGAAAUGCAUAGAUAUGUCACAGAACACCAAUUGCGAAGGCAGCUUACUAAGGUUAUAUUGACGCUGAGGC